GAACCACAAGGUCCUCCGAUAAAAAUUGGAACGAUACAGAGAAGAUUAGCACAGCCCCUGCGCCAGGAUACCAUGCACAACUCAGGAAGUGUACCAAAACCCG
rnacentral:snRNA from 1 species